rnacentral:rRNA from 1 species
CUUGGGGUCGGGACAACCACUGGAACGGUGGUAAUACCGGAUACGCUUUGGGUAAAAAUUAUUGCCCCAGAGGAGCUCGCGUCUGAUUAGCUAGUGGUGAUGUAAGAGCUCACCAGGCAGCGAUCAGUAGCUGGUCUGAAGGGACGAUCAGCCACACUGGGACUGAGACCCGGCCCAGACUCCUAACGGGGAGGGCAGCAGUGGGGAAUUUUCCCGCAAUGGGCGAAAGCCCUGACGGAGCAAGACCGCGUGAGGGAGGAAGGCUCUUGGGUUGUAAACCUCUUUUCUCAGGGAAGAAGCUCUGACGGUACCUGAGGAACCAGCCUCGGCUAACUCCGUGCCAGCAGCCGCGGUAAUACGGAGGAGGCAAGCGUUAUCCGGAAUUAUUGGGCGUAAAGCGUCCGCAGGUGGCGAUUCAAGUCUGCUGUCAAAGCACGGGGCUUAACUCCGUUAAGGCAGUGGAAACUGAAUAGCUAGAGUGCCGUAGGGGUAGAGGGAAUUCCCGGUGUAGCGGUGAAAUGCGUAGAGAUCGGGACGAACAUCGGUGGCGAAAGCGCUCUACUGGACGGCAACUGAACACUCAGGGACGAAAGCUAGGGGAGCGAAUGGGAUUAGAUACCCCAGUAGUCCUAGCUGUAAACGAUGGAUACUAGGUGUAGCUUGUAUCGACCCGAGCUGUGCCGAAGCUAA